GGUCCGCUGGCUCAAUAGUAGAGCGUCUGACUACGAAUUAGGAGGUUAGGUAGGUUCCAGGUUCGACCCCUAGGUGGAUCG